ACACAAUAUAUAUAUAUUUUUUUUUUCUUUUCCAUUGCGUUGCAGACAAAUGUUAACAAACAACUGUGCCUUUCACCACACUACCUCGCAAACGGCCUCUGUGAUAGAGAGGCUUAGCAGAUCGAAGGCGGGAGGGUCCUCGUUUUUUAAAGUGCUUUAUUGCACAGUUCCUCUCGGAGGAAGAGAACAAGGGGCUGCGAGGUGAGCCCAGAGUCCGAACGGCCUCUGAGCUUCAUGGUUGCAAUAAUAAUACUCUGUGUGUGUGCAUGUGUGUGUGUGUGUGUGUGUGUGUGUGUGUGUGUGUGUGUGGCUACUUAUUGCAUAACAGUAAGCUGGCUCAUGAAUUUUUCAGUGAAAGUGUAAAGCACAAAUCUUUAGAUUAAAAUGUUAUAAACUCUUCACAAUAAUUACAAUACAUCUCAUAAUAUCUAAGUUACAUUCUUAUAUCUGAUUCAUAUAGAAUAUGUAGGCGAUAUACAUCUUGUGGCUUACUGCUUAUAGCUAACAUAGUGGACACUAUCAUGUGGGUCUCUGUCUCAGCCCUCUAGGUUUACAGACAUAGAUAAAUACACAGUGCUGGUCAGAUGUUUGCACACACUCCGAAUAAUUUGGGUACAAAUUCUGAUUAAUUGAAGCUAAUCUUCACACAUGGAGGAAUAAUUAUACAGCUUUAAAUUAUUUUAAAAACAGACAUGGGGUUGCAAGUUUGAAUUUAUCACGGAUUUUUUUCUAGCCUACACAGGGUCAAAAAAAAAAAAAGGUUAAAAUUGAAACACACAAACAAACAUAAUU